rnacentral:rRNA from 1 species
UACAGAGGGGGCAAGCGUUAUUCGGAAUUAUUGGGCGUAAAGGGCGCGUAGGCGCCUGGCAAGUGGAAGGUGAAAUCCCUCGGCUUAACCGAGGAACUGCCUCCCAAACUGCUUGGCUUGAGACCGGGAGAGGUGAGUGGAAUUCCCAGUGUAGCGGUGAAAUGCGUAGAUAUUGGGAGGAACACCAGUGGCGAAGGCGGCUCACUGGACCGGUACUGACGCUGAUGCGCGAAAGCGUGGGGAGCAA